rnacentral:lncRNA from 1 species
UUUGCAAACUGUGAAAGUAUCAUGGCACAGUUUUGAAAACCAAUUUGUUAAUAAGGUUUGCACAGAAAAUGGUAUUGAAUACAAUUAUUUUUGCACCAAGAACACUAUUGCAUAUAGAGGUUAUAAAAAUAUAAAAAUAGAACCUUUGUUGUGUAAGGACAAUGCCUUGUGAUAGCAGUUGAUUAAUGCUAUCAUCACAGCUUGUCAUAUUAUAAGGUUUCUAUUAAAUCUAUUUUUGAAGAAAACCCUAUAUGAACUCAUGAAAAACAGAAAAUCAAAUGGUGCAUACCUUCAUGUUUUUCAGUUAUACAUAUUAUGUUCUCAAGAAUGAUAUAUAUGCCAAAUCUGAUAAAACAAGCGCUUCUUUGGAUAUUACUCUUUAAGCAAUGCAUAUAGAAUAUUCAAUGAAAAUAUAGUUUGUCAUUUUGCUUCUAUUUAAAAGACAUUAAGAAGAAUGAAUAAGAUGACAAUUAGUUAAGUUAAACUAAAUCAUUUUGAAAGGGAUAAAAUUUGAAAUCUUG